CCUACGGGUGGCAGCAGUGGGGAAUAUUGCACAAUGGGGGAAACCCUGAUGCAGCGACGCCGCGUGAGUGAAGAAGUAUUUCGGUUUGUAAAGCUCUAUCAUCAGGGAAGAAAAUGACGGUAUCUGAUUAAUAAGCCCCGGCUAACUACGUGCCAGCAGCCGCGGUAAUACGUAGGGGGCAAGCGUUAUCCGGAAUUACUGGGUGUAAAGGGAGCGUAGACGGCAUAACAAGUCAGGAGUGAAAUGCCGGGGCUUAACCCCAGAACUGCUUUGGAAACUGUGCAGCUAGAGUGCAGGAGAGGUAAGUGGAAUUCCUAGUGUAGGGGUGAAAUGCGUAGAUAUUAGGAGGAACACCAGUGGCGAAGGCGACUUACUAGAAUGUAACUGACGUUGAGGCUCGAAAGCGUGGGGAGCAAACAGGAUUAGAUACCCCGGUAGUC
rnacentral:rRNA from 1 species